GCGGUUGUGGUGGAAUGGUAGACACGCAGCGUUGAGGUCGCUGUGGCAAAUUAUUGCCGUGGAAGUUCAAAUCUUCUCAUCCGCACCA
rnacentral:tRNA from 1 species